rnacentral:rRNA from 1 species
CCUACGGGAGGCAGCAGUGAGGAAUAUUGGUCAAUGGACGCAAGUCUGAACCAGCCAAGUAGCGUGCAGGAUGACGGCCCUCCGGGUUGUAAACUGCUUUUAUUUGGGAAUAAAAUGGGGCUCGUGAGCCCCGUAUUGGAUGUACCAUCAGAAAGAGGACCGGCUAAUUCCGUGCCAGCAGCCGCGGUAAUACGGAAGGUCCGGGCGUUAUCCGGAUUUAUGGGUUUUAGAGGGAGCGUAGGCCGGAUUUUAAGUGAGCUGUGAAAGUCCGGGGCUCAACCGUGGAAUUGCCGUUGAAACUGGAGGCCUUGAGUGCGCGCAGGGAUGGCGGAAUUCAUGGUGUAGCGGUGAAAUGCUUAGAUAUCAUGAAGAACUCCGAUCGCGAAGGCAAGUGUCCGCGGUGCAACUGACGCUGAGGCUCGAAAGUGCGGGUAUCAAACAGGAUUAGAUACCCGGGUAGUC